rnacentral:rRNA from 1 species
UACGUAGGGUGCAAGCGUUGUCCGGAAUUAUUGGGCGUAAAGAGCUCGUAGGCGGCUUGUCGCGUCGGCUGUGAAAACCCGCGGCUCAACUGUGGGCGGGCAGCUGAUACGGGCAGGCUUGAGUUCGGUAGGGGAGACUGGAAUUCCUGGUGUAGCGGUGAAAUGCGCAGAUAUCAGGAGGAACACCGGUGGCGAAGGCGGGUCUCUGGGCCGAUACUGACGCUGAGGAGCGAAAGCGUGGGGAGCGAACAGG